rnacentral:rRNA from 1 species
AGAGUUUGAUCAUGGCUCAGAUUGAACGCUGGCGGCAGGCUUAACACAUGCAAGUCGAACGGUAACAGAACUAGCUUGCUAGUUGCUGACGAGUGGCGGACGGGUGAGUAACGCGUAGGAAUCUACCGAAUAGUGGGGGACAACAGUUGGAAACGGCUGCUAUACCGCAUACGCCCUACGGGGGAAAGGAGGGGAUCUUCGGACCUUUCGCUAUUUGAUGAGCCUGCGUGAGAUUAGUUAGUUGGUGGGGUAAUGGCUCACCAAGGCGACGAUCUCUAGCUGGUCUGAGAGGAUGAUCAGCCACACUGGGACUGAGACACGGCCCAGACUCCUACGGGAGNCAGCAGUGGGGAAUAUUGCACAAUGGGGGAAACCCUGAUGCAGCCAUGCCGCGUGUGUGAAGAAGGCCUUCGGGUUGUAAAGCACUUUCAGUUGUGAGGAAAGGUUAAGGGUUAAUA